GCCGGCGAGCGGCGGACGGGUGAGAUAAUGCCUGGGGAUCUGCCCAGUUCNAGGGGGAUAACANAUUGGAAACGACUGCUAAUACCGCAUACGCCCUACGGGGGAAAGGAGGGGACCUUCGGGCCUUUCGCGAUUGGAUGAACCCAGGUGGGAUUAGCUAGUUGGUGGGGUAAUGGCUCACCAAGGCGACGAUCCCUAGCUGGUCUGAGAGGAUGAUCAGCCACACUGGAACUGANACACGGUCCAGACUCCUACGGGAGGCAGCAGUGGGGAAUAUUGCACAAUGGGGGAAACCCUGAUGCAGCCAUGCCGCGUGUGUGAAGAAGGCCUUCGGGUUGUAAAGCACUUUCAGCGAGGAGGAAAGGUUGGCGCCUAAUACGUGUCAACUGUGACGUUACUCGCAGAAGAAGCACCGGCUAACUCCGUGCCAGCAGCCGCGGUAAUACGGAGGGUGCAAGCGUUAAUCGGAAUUACUGGGCGUAAAGCGCACGCAGGCGGUUGGAUAAGUUAGAUGUGAAAGCCCCGGGCUCAACCUGGGAAUUGCAUUUAAAACUGUCCAGCUAGAGUCUUGUAGAGGGGGGUAGAAUUCCAGGUGUAGCGGUGAAAUGCGUAGAGAUCUGGAGGAAUACCGGUGGCGAAGGCGGCCCCCUGGACAAAGACUGACGCUCAGGUGCGAAAGCGUGGGGGAGCAAACAGGAUUANAUACCCUGGUAGUCCACGCCGUAAACGAUGUCGAUUUGGAAGGCUGUGUCCUUGAAACGUGGCUUC
rnacentral:rRNA from 1 species